rnacentral:rRNA from 1 species
CCCGACUCCUACGGGAGGCAGCAGUGCGGAAUAUUGGUCACUGGACGCAAGUCUGCCCCAGCCAUGCCGCUUGCAGGAAUACGGCUCUAUGAGUUUUCCCCUGCUUUUGUCCUCGGGUAAACGCCGCUACGUGUAUCUUUCUGAAAGUAUCUUCCUAAUAAGGCUCUGCUAACUCCGUUCCCUCAGCCGCGUUCCUACGGAGGAUUCACUCUUUAUCCGGAUUUAUUGGGUUUAAAGGGUGCGUAGGCGGUCGGAUAAGUUAGAGUGGAAAUCCCGAGGAGCAACUUCGGAAUUGCCUCUGAUACUGUUCGGCUAGAGAGUAGUGGCGGUAGGCGGAAUGUAUGGUGUAGCGGUGAAAUGCUUAGAGAGCAGACAGAACACCGAUUGCGAAGGCAGCGUACCAAGCUACUUCUGACGUUGAGGCACGAAAGCGUGGGGAGCAAACAGGAUUAGAUACCCGUGUA